UACAGAGGGUGCAAGCGUUGUUCGGAAUUAUUGGGCGUAAAGGGCGCGCAGGCGGCCUUAGAAGUCAGAUGUGAAAGCCCCGGGCUCAACCUGGGAAUGGCAUUUGAUACUCUGAGGCUGGAGUACGGGAGAGGAGAGUGGAAUUCCCAGUGUAGAGGUGAAAUUCGUAGAUAUUGGGAAGAACACCGGUGGCGAAGGCGGCUCUCUGGACCGUAACUGACGCUGAGGCGCGAAAGCGUGGGAGCAAACAGG
rnacentral:rRNA from 1 species